rnacentral:rRNA from 1 species
UGAACGCUGGCGGCGUGCCUAAUACAUGCAAGUCGAGCGAACGGACGAGAAGCUUGCUUCUCUGAUGUUAGCGGCGGACGGGUGAGUAACACGUGGAUAACCUACCUAUAAGACUGGGAUAACUUCGGGAAACCGGAGCUAAUACCGGAUAAUAUUUUGAACCGCAUGGUUCAAAAGUGAAAGACGGUCUUGCUGUCACUUAUAGAUGGAUCCGCGCUGCAUUAGCUAGUUGGUAAGGUAACGGCUUACCAAGGCAACGAUGCAUAGCCGACCUGAGAGGGUGAUCGGCCACACUGGAACUGAGACACGGUCCAGACUCCUACGGGAGGCAGCAGUAGGGAAUCUUCCGCAAUGGGCGAAAGCCUGACGGAGCAACGCCGCGUGAGUGAUGAAGGUCUUCGGAUCGUAAAACUCUGUUAUUAGGGAAGAACAUAUGUGUAAGUAACUGUGCACAUCUUGACGGUACCUAAUCAGAAAGCCACGGUUAACUACGUG